rnacentral:rRNA from 1 species
AACAAACGCUGGCGGCGUGCCUAAUACAUGCAAGUCGAACGGGGAAAGCUUUCGGGUGAGUACUAGUGGCGCACGGGUGAGGAACGCGUGGAUAAUCUGCCUUAGAGUGGGGGAUAACUAGUCGAAAGAUUAGCUAAUACCGCAUAAGACCACGAGAGCUGCGGCUUUUGAGGUCAAAGGUUUUUCGCUCUAAGAUGAGUCCGCGUAAGAUUAGCUAGUUGGUGAGGUAACGGCUCACCAAGGCGACGAUCUUUAACUGGUCUGAGAGGAUGAUCAGUCACACUGGAACGGAGACACGGUCCAGACUCCUACGGGAGGCAGCAGUAGGGAAUAUUGCACAAUGGAGGAAACUCUGAUGCAGCGACGCCGCGUGAGUGAUGAAGGCCUUCGGGUCGUAAAGCUCUGUCGCAGGGGAAUAACACAAUGAAGGUACCCUGUAAGAAAGGAUCGGCUAACUUCGUG